GACGAACGCUGGCGGCGUGCUUAACACAUGCAAGUCGAACGAAGUGGCGAACGGGUGAGUAACGCGUAAUCAACCUGCCCUUCAGAGGGGGACAACAGUUGGAAACGACUGCUAAUACCGCAUACUGAAGGAGGGGAUUGCGUCGGAUUAGCUCGUUGGAGGGGUAACGGCCCACCAAGGCGAUGAUCAGUAGCCGGUCUGGGAGGAUGAACGGGCACAUUGGGACUGGGACACGGCCCAGAAUCCUACGGGAGGCAGCAGUGGGGAAUGUUCCGCAAUGGACGAAAAGCUGACGGAGCAACGCCGCGUGAGUGAUGGAGGGCUUCGGGUUGUAAAGCUCUGUUAAUCGGGACGCGGUACCGGAAUAGAAAGCCACGGCUAACUACGUGCCAGCAGCCGCGGUAAUUC
rnacentral:rRNA from 1 species